CUAUGAUGCAAUUCCCCCUCACAGUCAUCGUGGAUCCGCGGGGGAGGUGUCGGGUUGUCACCUCACAACCAGGGUGUUCCUUACGGUCGGACGUAUGUACGUCCGGAGCGAUGCGGGCUGUGUUCCAGGAGUGUCUCUGGCAGUUUUGGAGUGAAGUUUUCAUGUUCUGGAAAAGAGAAGCAAAGGGGAGGCGCUGAGCAUGUAAGUCUCUGUUGGAGAGGUGAAAAAGGGAAAAACAAACACAGCAGCUUUUCAAGUACCAUUUUCAGAUGCUGGAAAGGGAAUUUUAGGUGGAUGAUCAGCACCCAGUGCCUGAUAGGUGCACACAGAGAAUAAAAAGAAUGUCACAAGUA